GGGGCCGGCACAGGGAGGAGAGGACACUCGGCCGGCAGUUGGCCCACACAUAUUUAUGGAUUGCCACCUAUGAGCCGCCCCCCCACCCCGGGGGGGGCAAGUAAGGGGACCCACUGGAAAAGAAAAGCCACUGGACGGAUGCCACACGGAUCUCAUCACGCUCUUGACUACCCUCGGCAGAAGUGUCCCAAGUGGGUGCCUCCUGCCUCAGUUGUGUCUCAGAAGCCCAGACUCCCUCCCUUGAGCUGUCUGCUUGCCAUCUCCCCUUGAACAGUCCCCAAGACUCCUCAAGCCAAGGUGCACAGACAUGCUAAUGGUCUU